GACGAACGCUGGCGGCGUGCUUAACACAUGCAAGUCGAACGGAAAGGCCCUGCUUUUGUGGGGUGCUCGAGUGGCGAACGGGUGAGUAACACGUGAGUAACCUGCCCUUGACUUUGGGAUAACUUCAGGAAACUGGGGCUAAUACCGGAUAGGAGCUCCUGCUGCAUGGUGGGGGUUGGAAAGUUUCGGCGGUUGGGGAUGGACUCGCGGCUUAUCAGCUUGUUGGUGGGGUAGUGGCUUACCAAGGCUUUGACGGGUAGCCGGCCUGAGAGGGUGACCGGCCACAUGGGGAUUGAGAACGGGCCCGGCCUCUCCGGGGGGGCAGAAGGGGGGAAUAUGGAAAAAGGGGCGGAGGCUGAAUCCAGCACCGCCGGGGGGGGGAUGCCGGCUUUCGGUUUGAAAACCGCUUUCGCCUGGGACGAAGGGGGAGUGAGGGUAAGGGGUAAAGAAGCCCCGGCUAACUACGUG
rnacentral:rRNA from 1 species